UGGAAUGAGGUGUUGGUUUUAAGCCC
rnacentral:piRNA from 1 species